CCUACGGGUGGCAGCAGUGAGGAAUAUUGGUCAAUGGGCGUAAGCCUGAACCAGCCAAGUCGCGUGAGGGAUGACGGUUCUAUGGGUCGUAAACUUCUUUUAUAAGGGAAUAAAGUGUGGGACGUGUCCUGUUUUGUAUGUACCUUAUGAAUAAGGAUCGGCUAACUCCGUGCCAGCAGCCGCGGUAAUACGGAGGAUCCGAGCGUUAUCCGGAUUUAUUGGGUUUAAAGGGUGCGUAGGCGGGCUGUUAAGUCAGCGGUGAAAGUCUGCGGCUCAACCAUAGAAUUGCAGUUGAGACUGGGAGUCUUGAGUAUGUUUGAGGCAGGCGGAAUUCGUGGUGUAGCGGUGAAAUGCUUAGAUAUCACGAAGAACCCCGAUUGCGAAGGCAGCCUGCCAAGCUAUGACUGACGUUGAUGCACGAAAGCGUGGGUAUCAAACAGGAUUAGAUACCCGGGUAGUC
rnacentral:rRNA from 1 species